rnacentral:rRNA from 1 species
UACAGAGGUCCCGAGCGUUGUUCGGAUUUAUUGGGCGUAAAGGGUGUGUAGGCGGCUGGGCAAGUCGGGUGUGAAAUCCCAUCGCUUAACGAUGGAAUGGCAUUCGAUACUGCUUGGCUAGAGGAUCGGAGGGGGAAGCGGAAUUCUUGGUGUAGCAGUGAAAUGCGUAGAUAUCAAGAGGAACACCGGUGGCGUAGGCGGCUUCCUGGAAGGUACCUGACUCUGAAACACGAAAGCUAGGGGAGCAAACGGG